GCUCAGGACGAACGCUGGCGGCGUGCCUAACACAUGCAAGUCGAGCGGGGAACACUGAAAGCUUGCUUUUGGGUUUCUAGCGGCGGACGGGUGAGUAACGCGUGAGCAAUCUGUCUGACAGGGGGAUACCAGCGAAAGUUGCACUAAUACCGCAUAGGACCACAGAGCCACAUGGCAUAGGGGUCAAAGGAGCAAUCCGGUCUGAGGUGAGCUCGCGUCCCAUUAGGUAGUUGGUGAGGUAACGGCCCACCAAGCCUGCGAUAGGUAGCCGACCUGAGAGGGUGAUCGGCCACACUGGAAUUGAGAGACGGUCCAGACUCCUACGGGAGGCAGCAGUGGGGAAUAUUGGGCAAUGGGCGAAAGCCUGACCCAGCAACGCCGCGUGAGGGAAGAAGGUUCUCGGAUUGUAAACCUCUGUCCCAAGAGAAGAGGGAAAGACGGUAUCUUGGGAGGAAGCCCCGGCUAACUACGUGCCAGCAGCCGCGGUAAUACGUAGGGGGCGAGCGUUGUCCGGAAUGAUUGGGCGUAAAGGGCGCGUAGGCGGCUAUUUAAGUCUGGAGUGAAAGUCCUGCUUUUAAGGUGGGAAUUGCUUUGGAAACUGGAUGGCUUGAGUGCAGGAGAGGUUAUCGGAAUUCCCGGUGUAGCGGUGAAAUGCGUAGAGAUCGGGAGGAACACCAGUGGCGAAGGCGGGUAACUGGACUGCAACUGACGCUGAUGCGCGAAAGUGUGGGGGAGCAAACAGGAUUAGAUACCCUGGUAGUCCACACUGUAAACGAUGAAUGCUAGGUGUAGGGGGGUAUCGACCCCUUCUGUGCCGGAGUAAACACAAUAAGCAUUCCGCCUGGGGAGUACGGCCGCAAGGGUUGAAACUCAAAGGAAUUGACGGGGGCCCGCACAAGC
rnacentral:rRNA from 1 species